rnacentral:rRNA from 1 species
AGUGAACGCUGGCGGUGGGCCUAACACAUGCAAGUCGAACGGCAGCACAGUAAGAGCUUGCUCUUACGGGUGGCGAGUGGCGGACGGGUGAGGAAUACAUCGGAAUCUACUUUUUCGUGGGGGAUAACGUAGGGAAACUUACGCUAAUACCGCAUACGACCUACGGGUGAAAGCAGGGGAUCUUCGGACCUUGCGCGAUUGAAUGAGCCGAUGUCGGAUUAGCUAGUUGGCGGGGUAAAGGCCCACCAAGGCGACGAUCCGUAGCUGGUCUGAGAGGAUGAUCAGCCACACUGGAACUGAGACACGGUCCAGACCCCUACGGGAGGCAGCAGUGGGGAAUAUUGGACAAUGGGCGCAAGCCUGAUCCAGCCAUACCGCGUGGGUGAAGAAGGCCUUCGGGUUGUAAAGCCCUUUUGUUGGGAAAGAAAAGCAGCAGGUUAAUACCCCGCUGUUCUGACGGUACCCAAAGAAUAAGCACCGGCUAACUUCGUG